rnacentral:rRNA from 1 species
UACAGAGGUCCCGAGCGUUGUUCGGAUUCAUUGGGCGUAAAGGGUGCGUAGGCGGCGGGGCAAGUCUGAUGUGAAAUCCUGGGGCUCAACCCUGGAACUGCAUUGGAUACUGCCUUGCUAGAGUACUGGAGAGGAAACUGGAAUUUACGGUGUAGCAGUGAAAUGCGUAGAGAUCGUAAGGAAGACCAGUGGCGAAGGCGAGUUUCUGGACAGUGACUGACGCUGAGGCACGAAGGCCAGGGGAGCAAACGGG